rnacentral:lncRNA from 13 species
UUUUGCCCAUUUUUAUUAAGUAAAAAAAUAUGUAACUUACCAAUAUUCUGGUUCAUCAAACGAUAAAAUAAUGUUUAUUGAACAUGUAGGCCAAGUUUGAAGGUAAUCGGUUCAAUGGUUACAAAAUCUUCAUUAAAAAUUCCGGUUACUAAAUAAGCCGCAAUUUCAAUUAUUUCUAAUUCACAAUGAAGGUGUUUAGUCGAGAAUUGCAAGUAGAGUAAAAACUCUCGUUAUUAUUUUGAGUUUCACCACCUAAAGUUCUUUCUAACAAUUCUCUUGAUGAUAAAUCUUCGAAAAUUAGCUUUAUGACUUGCUGAACAUCUUCAUAUAAUGGCUGUUUAUAAUCGAAUUUAUCAAGACCUGCGCUCGGGUCAAUUAAGACUUAUCAAUUAUAACUCCGAAAGUUUUACAAAUUUCGAAAUAAAAUUUUCUAAAGAUAUUCUUGAGAUGUUAAGGGGUAACGCCACUGUAGAAUUUUUGAAAAAUCAAUAUUUUUAUUGUUUUAAAAAAUGCUUUGAACCUUCUAGAAUGAAUUAAAAAAAGUCUUAUGUACAUUACAAAAUUUCUUUUUUGAAAUUUUGCGCUUAAGCGUGUCGGACUGCGCCAAAACUAUGUCGGUGACGGUGAUAGCAAAACUUUCAAGGGUAUACUGGAGAAACAUCCAAAAAUUUUUAAGUGAAAAAGAAAGAGUGCAUUAAUCACGUGCAAAUGAAAAUGGGUACUCGUUUGAGAAAUUAAAAAAAAAUGUAAAAAACCUUGGAGGAAGAGAUAAAUUAUCUGCUAAAUUAAUUGACGAACUUACAAUAUAUUAUGGCUUAGCGAUACGGCGGAAUCCAAACUCCGUGGAAAAUAUGAAAAAUGAUAUCUGGGCAACCUUAUUUCAUAAAAUGUCAACCGAUGAAAAUCCGCAACACGAGAAGUGCUCAGAGUCUUGGUGUAAUUAGAAAAAAGCACAAGCAGCGAAUUUCUUAGCUACUUUUCAUCAUAAGCCGUCACUACCAAAGAAAAUUUUUCAAGCCGUUAGACCUAUUUAAGAGAAGCUGAGCCAUGAUGAGUUGCUAAAUCGUUGCUUUGGAGGCCACACUCAAAAUAACGAAAGUUUCAAUACUGUUACAUAGAACUUGGCUCCAAAAUCCUACUCAAGCGGCAAAAAAGUACUGCGUGUAGUAAUUGAUUUUGCUGUGUGCACCUUCAAUGACGGUUUGAUUAACAUUUUACGAAUUAUGCAAGUUUUGGAGAUGGAUAUCGGUUACCAAGCAUAUAAUUUUUGCCUUGAAGCCAAUGCGACAAGGAUCAAGCACGCCGAGUAGUCUUUAACAGAUGCGGCAAAGGAGGUACGCACCGGUAUAAAAUCGACGCGGAAACAAAAUGAGGAGGAAUAUUUGAGUGAAGAAGGGAUGCUUUACGGUCCUAGGAUCUGAGAUAGCACACUAAUGGUAUAUAUAUCUACGAUAUUUCUACUGUGUUCCGCAGACCACCAUGAAUUGAACACGUCAAAAAUGGCUCUAGCGUCGCCAUUUUGUAAUAUUUUUUAAUAAAAAAAAUUUUUUUGAAUA